CAAUAACAUGCUAUGCUAGUUUUAUAUAUAUGUAUAUAUAUGUAUGUGUGUGUGUGUGUGUAUAUAUAUAUAUACACACACACAUAUAUAUGUGUGUGUUUAUAUAUA
rnacentral:miRNA from 11 species